rnacentral:rRNA from 1 species
CCUACGGGAGGCAGCAGUGGGGAAUAUUGCACAAUGGGGGAAACCCUGAUGCAGCGACGCCGCGUGAGUGAAGAAGUAAUUCGUUAUGUAAAGCUCUAUCAGCAGGGAAGAAAAUGACGGUACCUGAGUAAGAAGCCCCGGCUAACUACGUGCCAGCAGCCGCGGUAAUACGUAGGGGGCAAGCGUUAUCCGGAUUUACUGGGUGUAAAGGGAGCGUAGGCGGGGAUGCAAGUUGGGUGUCAAAACUACCGGCUCAACCGAUAGUCGCACUCAAAACUGCAACUCUUGAGUGAAGUAGAGGCAGGCGGAAUUCCUAGUGUAGCGGUGAAAUGCGUAGAUAUUAGGAGGAACACCAGUGGCGAAGGCGGCCUGCUGGGCUUUUACUGACGCUGAGGCUCGAAAGUGUGGGGAGCAAACAGGAUUAGAUACCCCAGUAGUC